rnacentral:rRNA from 1 species
AUUGAACGCUGGCGGCAGGCUUAACACAUGCAAGUCGAACGAGUGGCGGACGGGUGAGUCAUGCUUGUGAAUCUAGCUUAUGGGGGGGGAUAACUACGGGAAACUGUAGCUAAUACCGCGUACCAUAGGAUGAGCCUAAGUGGGAUUAGGUAGUUGGGGGGGAAAAGGCUCACCAAGCCGACGUUCUCUAGCUGGCCUGAGAGGAUGACCAGCAACACGGGAACGGAGCCAGGGCCCAGACGCCUACGGAAGGCAGAAGUGGGGAAUAUUGUGCAAUGGGGGCAACCUGACGCAGCCAUGCCGCGGGAAUGAAGAAGGCCUUCGGGUUGUAAAGUUCUUUCUGUAGCGAGGCGUUAACUACAGAAGAAGCACCGGCUAACUCCGUGCCAGCAGCCGCGGUAAUUC